GGGUCGGCUCGCCUAUUAGGGUGGGCAGCGGUCUGUAAAACCGUCGUUUCUAUACAUUGCAGGUGCGAAUCCUGCCCGGCCCA
rnacentral:tRNA from 1 species